CUAGGGCCUGAACUUUAGUUGGCUCGGGCCUGAACUUUGGUUCAGACCUGAACAUUAAAGUUUAUUGGAGAAGAGGGUUCUUAAAGGCAGGGAGAAGGAAAGUACAAAAGCAGAACUAUCUAUAAUCACAAGGCCUAUGAUUCAUAACGGCUCACUAAUAGUUUUGGGGGAAGCUUGGGAACCGCAAAGGGCAGACUGUGAAAAACAGGAAAGCUUGCUAAGCUAUAUUCCCUUUUUGGGGGAAUGUAUUCCAAAUAUAGCAAUAAUGUUGAUCAGAAAGUAUGCAUUACCUAAUUGUGGUUUUAUGCUAUAUAAGCUAUUUGAAAAUCUGUAGUCGGGGGGGAUUGCCAGUUCGCUGGUACCCCCGUGCAUGCAUGAAAAUAAAGAGGCCUCAGGCGAUUCUGAUCCAAACACAACGCGUGGUCGUUUUUCCACUACAAUCUUGGUGCCUGUGACUCGGAUCCACAGACUGUCCACUGGACCAGGAAACCGCGGACCGUUCCCCUCCGAACCCAGUCGGCAUUUGAUAGCAACCCUGCCACUCGCUAAAACCAGGAGACUGGAUCUACAUAAAGGUUCAUCAGUGAGGAACCACCCUGAACCCACGCUUCGCACUGCAAAAAGGCCCCUCCACUGUGAGAAGAUUCUCCGACUGAUGACUGGCUGUUUCUCCUUCUGGUGCUGCUGUUUCUUCUGGACAGCAGAAGAAAAGGACAAGAUAAAAAGCUGGUAACCUCUCCUUUGUCCGUUAACAAACCCACUGUGCCUUUGAAUCUUGCGAAAAAAAACAACCUCUCCACCUGAGGACAUAAUAAAGCCUCUAACCAAGCAAGGUGAUUGUGCUAGUAACCUCUCUCUUGCUGCCUCACUGCCGAACAGCUAAGUGAACUAAAACUACGGAAUCUCAAAAAAUAGCUUGCGGAAGCUAGCCAAAACUACCUAAAAAUGAAACUUUUCCUUAGCCUCUCCUUCUUAACGAACUUAGGGUGGGAAUGGGAAAGUAAUAUUUUUAAAUCUUAGCCAAUCAGUAGCCUCUGAUUUAGCCUGUACCAUAUUGUAAUGUAUCCCUAUUUAGAUCAUUAAUAUUAAUGCCCUUUGUAAAGGUGUUUAACCAACGGAUGUGGUAUAAUACUUCACAAAAAAAAGAUGUUAGGACAUCGGAGAACUGUAAUUAAUGCCACAUUAGGGACCAUUAAGUUCACGCUGUCCUUAUCCAGUUUUCAAAUUAUCUUUAUAUAUCCAAAUUGCUCUAAAGGAGCUGCCAUUUGGCUAGCACAACAAAAGACCUUGGCUUCUCCCAAAAAAAGAGAAGAGAUUUGACUGAAUACUUGUGGGACGGGGCUAAUGGCGCAGCUGUAAUUUGGAAUAUUCACAAAAGCCAACACCAUAAGGGAAAAUUAGGUCAAUUAGAAAAAAAACAAAAACAAAAAACACUGGUCUUAUUGAAACACAGCUAAUGCAGGUUCAGGCUGGGGUUGGUAAAUUGUAUGUUAUUUCUGCCCUUAGUUUUAUAACCCAGGAGUUGCUGACGGAAAUGGUCUUAAAUAUCACUGGUGCUGGGAAGGCAUUGCAGUGGGACAUGGCAUGUUCAAAAGUCCCGGAUUUUCUAAGUAACCAGCUAAUGGCCAUUCGGAGUGAUCUUAAGCACCAGGCCUGGCUCACUGCCCUUACA